rnacentral:rRNA from 1 species
AUACGUAGGGGGCGAGCGUUGUCCGGAAUGAUUGGGCGUAAAGGGCGCGUAGGCGGCCCGGUAAGUCUGGAGUGAAAGUCCUGCUUUUAAGGUGGGAAUUGCUUUGGAUACUGUCGGGCUUGAGUGCAGGAGAGGUAAGUGGAAUUCCCAGUGUAGCGGUGAAAUGCGUAGAGAUUGGGAGGAACACCAGUGGCGAAGGCGACUUACUGGACUGUAACUGACGCUGAGGCGCGAAAGUGUGGGGAGCAAACAGGAUUAGAUACCCUGGUAGUCCACACUGUAAACGAUGAAUGCUAGGUGUAGGGGGUAUCGACCCCUUCUGUGCCGCAGUUAACACAUUAAGUAUUCCACCUGGGGAGUACGGCCGCAAGGUUGAAACUCAAAGGUUCGCU